UACGUAGGGGGCAAGCGUUAUCCGGAAUUACUGGGUGUAAAGGGUGAGUAGGCGGCAUGGUAAGCCAGAUGUGAAAGCCUUGGGCUUAACCCGAGGAUUGCAUUUGGAACUAUCAAGCUAGAGUACAGGAGAGGAAAGCGGAAUUCCUAGUGUAGCGGUGAAAUGCGUAGAUAUAGGAAGAACACCAGUGGCGAAGGCGGCUUUCUGGACUGAAACUGACGCUGAGGCACGAAAGCGUGGGGAGCGAACAGG
rnacentral:rRNA from 1 species